rnacentral:siRNA from 1 species
UCGACCGAGUGCUUUACCUAG